rfam:Rahnella aquatilis CIP 78.65 = ATCC 33071, complete genome.
GGUGUGGUCGGUUUCUGGCAGGAUUUUUUAUUCUGCUGGUCCCUGUGGCAGGGGCGCGCCAUCAAUCACAACGGUGCCUGCGGGCAUAAAUGGAGA